GUUAGCAAUGGAGAUUUCUUUUAUUGAAUUCUGUUAGGCUCCAUUGUCUGGGCUCUGGGGAUUCUCUUUGACACAGUUUCACUGACCUCAAGGAUAACAUAUUUGACAAUACAUGUACACUGGACCAGCCUAUAGACGGGUGAUGCAGUUUGUUUGACUAGUCUGAAGUUUUGUACCGUGCAUGUAAUACCUUUUCCCAAAGAUUGCUUACAGAAUGGAGUUGUGUGAAAUCAAAUGCAGAGGGAUAUUUCUAGUGCAGUGAUGGAGUUUGAAUGAAGCUUCCUGAAGCAUCAAAAAAUAAGUUGGCUGAAUAACUUGGGUCACAUGAUUAAUAUAAGCACCAAACAUAGAGUUGCUCUUAUUCUGUUUGCAUCAUAAUGGUAAUGGCCAGGUUAAAGAACGGAAUAAUUGGAGUGAAGUCAUUAAAACCUUUCCCAGGAUACUUCAGUGGUGCUCCUCAUCUCCUGGGUGGAAAGGUUUCCAUGGAAACAAGUGGAAUCCUUCACUGUGUUAAGGUGGUGAUGAGUUAUUCCUUUUUGACUCGGUCCAAUUCAUCCAUGAUGAAGGAAUCAUACAGCUCAGAGAAAUACCGCUUCACCGCGGAGUACCAGUCUGUGUACAGCUAUAGUUACCAUGACAACGGUCCACGACGUAUCCGGACCAGUCGCCUUACUGGAACCAGUACGACAGCCUCUCUCUGGGCAGUGACCUUCACUACAACAGUCUGGGUCAGGGGUACCAGUCUGACUGUCUACCACCCUGUAACGAGGAGGAAGAACUCUCCACUUCAACACACUUGUGGACUAAUGAAUGCUGGGAUUGUUGAUCGUCCAUUGAAGUUGAUGCGAUCUAAGAGGCUGUGGUGUGGGGACAGGAAGACAAACAUAACGAGGCAGGAAAGCGUCAUCUCCCAGCUAUCCUCAUCCUCCAUACACAGGCCAGGAAGGAAUUUCCAAGGGGCACCCUAUGGGGACUUCAAAAGUAUCACCUUGUAUAAUCCGACUGCAAAGUCAACACACAUUGGUUAAUUUGGCUUUCUGACUGGGGCACAAAUUGUCCUAUUAUUAUCAAAGAAUUAUUUCAGUCGCGUACAUUUCAUCUGAAUGUUAAUGUAAAUAAUGUUAGUUUCAAUUAUUUUUGUUGAACGUAUU
rnacentral:sRNA from 1 species